rnacentral:lncRNA from 12 species
CCAGAUUUCAAAGAGAGACAUUCAGGGGAAUGAAACGUAUGGUAUUCUUCAAAAAUACCUUCUGUAUUUUUUUUUUAUUCAAAUUAGCAUCUGGCUAGCAGAACCUAACACUGCCUCCUACAACGUCAGAUGGAAAUUUUGUGGGGUCUUACGAAACAGGAGAAACAGGUGGAAGAUGAAGGCAAUCCUUGGUGAAGAUCUCUUAGAAUUCUUAAACCCCUCCCACGCCCCAACGCUGGGUGCGAGACAAGAGCCAUGAGAAGAUAUGGGGCAGAGGGAGACCGUCUCUCAGAAGGUCUUCACUUCCAGGAAAUCAACCCACCAUGAAUCCCCAGAAAAAGCAGAAGGGAUGCUUUGUAUUCCCAUCUUGCAGAAAAUGGAAAUGGCUGAAGGCAGAGAUAGGGCGCUGCAAUUUCUCCCAUCUUCGUGUCUGCGUCAAGGACAUCGAGUCGAAAUAUGAGGCCACGUGUGAAAUUAUUUGUCUGAAGGAAGGUUUAUUAAAACAUCCCGCGUUCACAACAGCAAGACUUGGGAAAGCUUUUGUGAGCAGUUCUUGACACUUUAAUACCAAACCCAGCUCUCCUUAUUUCACUACGUAGCUUUUUAAAGUCAGACAUGAAUCUGAGUGCUGGAAGCAAUCACACCAAUUAGUGAAGCUCUGUGACAUGUUUUGUGUUUCUUCUCAGAAAAGAAACGGGACACUGGAAAUGGACACUAGCAACGACAGCACUCAUCCCCGCUCUGCUGGGCAUGCACGUCGUUAGGGGCUGUGCAACCACUGCUGUGCCAUCCUUAUGGGCUUUACAUAAAUAGCCUCCUGUUUUUUUAAAUAAAUUAUAUUAUAAAUUACGAUCA